UCUUGUUCACACAACGCACUCAGGUGGUUUCACGUUUAGACAGCAGACUUGUAGAGCACUGCAGGUGGCUUCUGCCCACCACCCCUGCCCCACGCCGCUACAGAAAACUGCUUCAGCCCGACUUGCCAGCAUUUUCAAGAUCUCUACACAUAUGCCUGUGGCUUUUCCUACUGCCUCUCUGGUUUUGCUGAAAGGGACCGUGACUUCCUACACGUCAGCUUUCCCCCACUACUUCCCUGUGGAAAGCAGGCAAAGUGGCAUCGAGAGGAAGUUUCAUCCUGUGAUUCAGCCAACUGGCCAAAGACUGCACGUACCUGGGUCUGAUUCUCUGCUCCCUGCCUGACUUCAGGCACAUCAACUCGUGGUCUGAUCCCGAAACAGCAAUUGCAAGUAUUUAAGCAAGACAUGGGCUCUUCAUGUCUCUGUAAGACCCACAGUGAGAACCAAAGACCCCAGCUAGGCAUCAUAUAGCCCUGGAGCUAGGGAACUUGCUGGGUCACCACAACUUCACUUUUCAAAGCAGCCCAACCCAAGGAGGCAGGACCUAUGAGCUACGGAACCAAACCCAUAGAGCAUCCCUACCCAUGACCAGCUUCUCCCACCUAACAGCUCCUUCCUUUUCUCUAAGCACAGAGUGGUGGUGGUUUCCAGGCCAGCAGUUAACAUUUACCUAGGGACUGGUUUUCUCUGCGUCCAGUCUGAUGGAAUUCAAGGUUUCCACUACCAUGGAAAGCAGCCUAACCAUCUGAACCAGGGUGGGGAAAAGAGCUCAAGUUUGGAUAAAAGGAGAUAGCACAUUACAACCACAGAUGAACACCGAGAGCUGAACUCAGUACUCUGUACAAAGUGCCUGGGAAAUCAAAGCUUACAGCGUGUUCUCCCGGAGAAAGAACAGUGCUGCAAAUGUAACAAAAAUACAUGCUCUGGGUCUCCUUGAAUUAAAAGAAAGUAUUUCACUAUACAGCAUUAAAUGCAAUGCAUAUGAUGUGAAAGUAUUGAAGUAGUAACAUGAAAGAGAUGGAUAUUUAUGUUUUAAAAUCUCCAAUUGUAACACAACUUACAUUAUUCUUUUUCUUUAAGGAUACAAAAUUUGCAUACAGAAGAGGGAAAAUGUUUGGAGGAUAAAAAUAAGGAGGAGUAACAUGAUCCUCAGUUCAGAUCUUCCUCGAAGUAUUGAAAGAAACCAGAAGGAAAGUACAGGCAAAGCUUCCAACAAUACUGUAAGUUACACAGUAAAAGUCUUCAGGAGCACAUGUCUUUGAAGUACCACAGGGAAGAGUCAAUCCUAUUACAGCCCUCCUGAGGAAGUGUUAAUCUUCUAGACAAAGAAACCAAGGCUCACUUUUUAUGAACCUGUAUGUACUUUUGAUUGCUUCUGGCUUGGUUUAUUUGUUUCUUUAAGGCUCAUCAAACCUGAUUUUUUUGCUGAACCACUAAACCUACAGUUCAACUCAAAGGCAAAUGGAAGCUGCUAUGAAAGAUCAGACCACUUUCUUUUGGGAAGGGUGAAUUUAUGGGCCUGUGUUCUACUGUUAUUGAUGAAAUGCCAUCAUUGUGGAAAUCAAUAAAACAGCCUAUUGACAAAAACAGUGCUAGCACUAGGACUGUAUUCUUGAUUUAGAAAUUGCUGGCCAUGUUUAAAAAAAAAGCAGAAAAGAAGACAAAAUGCAUGUUUUGUGAGUUCAUAAAAAAGCAGA